rnacentral:rRNA from 1 species
AAUUUUGGACAAUGGGGGAAACCCUGAUCCAGCCAUCCCGCGUGUAUGAUGAAGGCCUNCGGGUUNUNAAGUACUUUUGGCAGUGNCAAAAAGGUAUCCCCUAAUACGGGAUACUGCUGACGGUAUCUGCAGAAUAAGCACCGGCUAACUACGUGCCAGCAGCCGCGGUAAUACGUAGGGUGCAAGCGUUAAUCGGAAUUACUGGGCGUAAAGCGUGUGUAGGCAGUUCUGAAAGAAAGGUGUGAAAGCCCAGGGUUCAACCUUGGAACUGCAUUUUUAACUGCCGAGCUAGAGUAUGUCAGAGGGGGGUAGAAUUCCACGUGUAGCGGUGAAAUGCGUAGAUAUGUGGAGGAAUACCGAUGGCGAAGGCAGCCCCCUGGGAUAAUACUGACGCUCAGACACGAAAGCGUGGGGAGCAAACAGG